AGCACUUUUUUUGUGGACCAAAUUGAUGAACAGUUGUCCUAUAGGGUUACAUUGCAACCCGGUCUGUGGCUGCCGGUUACAGCGUUCCCGCUUAAUACUGGACCAAUGUCGGGGAUUGU